AUCUUUGGUAGAUGAUGCGUGUUAUUCUUCCGCAGAUCAUUAUAUGCGUCCGCACAGUUCAAGCUCAUAUUCUAGAAGGAUGUUGAACUGCGAACCUGAUAGUAAUGAGCUCAUAAAUUUUUCUGCUUCUAGCUCAAGAACUCCUGCUGCAACAUUGCUUCCGCUGCAGGAAAAUUUUCAUGAUGUACACAGACAUGCUGCAAUGCAUAAUCAGUUUUCUGUUUCUAGCUCAAGGAUUCAUUCUGCAAUGCUUCCUCCACUGCAGGCAAACAGAAG